rnacentral:tRNA from 1 species
AGUAGGAUGGCUGAAGAGAGGCGUUAAAUUGUAAAUUUAUUUAUGAAAUAGGUAUUUCUCCUAU